rnacentral:tRNA from 1 species
CGGCGUGUAGCGCAGCCUGGUAGCGCACUUGCAUGGGGUGCAAGGGGUCGCGAGUUCGAAUCCCGCCGCGCCGACCA